GGAUGAGAGGGUGAUCUGGCUGUGACAUCUGUCACCUCAUUCAUUGUUAGGGGUAAUUCAACUGAUCUGGCUGGCUAGCCUGGUGACCCCUUUCUCUCACAGCUCCACAUGCGUCCCUCUCACAGCUGCACACCAUAUCUUCCAGGAUAUAGGAGGACAGUUCUUUCAUAAAGGGUAUAUGAGUAGCUGCACUCCUUUGCUAGAACCUCUGAAUGAGCUCUCAAGAAAGCAGAAUCUAUUUUAAGAGAUUAAGGUGGAUACACAGUAAGGCAUAACACAGUAACAAUGACAUAAAUGUUAGAUGUACAGCUGUAUGUCUAUAUGU
rnacentral:snRNA from 1 species